ACUCCCAAAAUAUAUUUUACACUGGCCAAAAAGAAAAAAAAAACCCUCUAAAUUGUUUAAGGACAAACGUAUUUCUAAAAAUUUAUUUUUCAAUUGUUACAUUUCUCAGUGUAUUCAUUUGCUGGAGCUGGUGUACCAAAGUACCACGUACUGGGUGACUCAAACAACAGAACCGCAUUGUCUUACAGUCCAGAUGCCCAAGAUGAAGCCAUCCACAGGGUGGUGGUGCCUUCUCAAAACAAUGAGAGGGACUCUAUUUCACGCCUUUCUAUUUCUGGUGGUUUGCUGGUGAUCUUUGGCAUACUUGGUUUGCAAAAGCAUCAUUCCCAUUGUUGCCUUUAUCUUCAUAUGGUGUUCUCCCCUGUGUGGUACCUGUGUCCAAAUCAUUUCUUCUUAAAACACCAGUCAUGUUGGAUUAGGGGCCCAGCCUACUCCAGCAUGGCCUCAUCUUAACUAACUAUAGUUGCAAUGAUCCUGUUUCCAAAAAGAUCACAUUCUGAGGUACUGGGUGUUGGGAUGUCAACAUAUGUAUUUUGAAGGGAUAAAAUUCAAGCCAUAAAAAUCAGCAACUUCAUAUAUAUAUUUCCCUAACUUACUUUGUUUUAUUUUCCAGGUCAUUGACUAACAACAUCAACAAUGAAAUGAAUCUGAGAAAACAGGAAAUUGAGAGCAAGAGAAAAAAGUGUUAAUUAUACUGAUUUUGUGUAAGACCCCUUUGAACACAUUUUUAAAAAAUCAAAUAGAAGGUGCCCAGGUCCACUGUGCCUUGUGGAUAUUUGUCUUGUAUAUCCUAGAGAUCUACGCAUUCAUGUGGGAAUUGAAAAGGACCCACAUUUUACUAGAAGCAUCGUUCAUUUUUGCCUCAAAACAAACAAUGCCCACAUGUCAGAAGAACUUUCACAAUUCACAGGAACAGUGACCUAAUUAACCAACCAUAAAAUUGCCAAAUCCCUACUUCUCAUUGUUUAAUAUGCUUAGAAAACCCAUUCAAAUUGUGAAUUAUCAAGUGAGCUUACACUGAUAAAUAGAUCCAAUAUUUAGGAAUUUUUAAAUCUUCCAUUCCUUUUUUUUUUGUCUUUUUAAAAAUAGAACAUUAGAAUAUGUCCUCCAGGUUUUAGAGAUGGGGGAGACAUGCUUCCCUUUAUUUCUCAGUAAUUCAGCCAAAAAAAAUCUGGAGAGAAUGCAAAGGCAGCUACUGGAAACGUUGAAAAGUAGACGUGAGCCCAUCAUCAGGGAAGAGCGAGAGAAUCUGAAAUCUACUCGAAAAAGUGAGUUUCAUACUUAGUGGGUCUUGUGUUCCUAUCCUAACUCGACACAGCCUGAAACUUGGAAGUGAGCAUGAUGGAGUGGAUACAGUGAGAUGCAGAAGAAAUCCUCCAGUUUGGGCUGGAAGGGAAAAAAGAGACCCCCUAAAACUCAGACAGUGGAAGAAAUUCCUGGUGUUUUUUCUUCUCUUUUUCUCUGUUCUUCCACAUAGCAAUUUAGUAUUGACUACAGCAUCUCUGUUACAAUGAUAGCACCGAAAUGUUGUAACCAUAUGGCCUGCAAAGCCAAAAAUAUUUAUCUGACCAUCUACAGGAAAAGUUUGCUGAUCUGGAUGAAAUAUUCUGAUAUUAAAUAUUCCAUUUUGAGGCUGAUAUUCCUAAUCUAUUCUUAAGGAUGGCAAUCUACCCAGUGGGCCUGCUGGGACUCCAGUUACCCGAUGCACAUACAUUGCUUGGUGGUCACAGAGGUUGGUUUGCCGAGCAACUCUGAGAACCCGUUUUUAAGUUCCCUGACUCUCCUAUUCACUGGAAUGGAAUGCCUUGCUGUCUGGGCCCUCCUUGCUUCACCUUCCAAUGAACUGAAAUCAUCACACUGAUCGUAUUGUAGCGGAGAGUGGUGUGUUAAAACCAUAACCAUAACCCCCAGUCUUGAGACCAGCCUCAGCUCUGUCGCUUUCUUAUCUCUUCAGAUGCAGCAGAUAGUUACCUCUAACUUUUAGUUUGCCUCAGACAUUAAGAAUAAAAUCAUAUUCAGCAUAAUUUAGGUGUCAUUGUCCACAUUCCACUGGUGCUAACAAACAUUUUUAUAUUGUUCCCAUGUGUCAACAGUAGCAAUCUGUGGCUCAUUAUAAGUGACAGCAAAUGUCAACAAGCCUGCCUCCUGGAGAUUUGUUUGUAAAGAUUCCUUAUCAGUUGUUGUGAUUUAUACCCCUGGCUUCUAUCGUCAUUGAUUAUUCUAUAUAUUUUCCUCCUUCAAGUGAAUGUACAAAGAGACUAAGAAAACCUCAGUCAAACUUGGAAAUUUCCUUUGUAAUAUUCUUUUUAAAGUUAGUUAGUUAUGGUAAGUUCCUUAUUAUCUAUCUGUUAAGAAUUGGGAUGCUGAGCUUGGUUUGAUUUUCUGGUUAACAAGAAUAUUAGCCAAUCAUCAAGAAUAUAAAAGGAAACACUGGUUAGCAAAGAAUUAGAAUUACAAAAGCAAUGAAUUCAUACCUAAGCCCUUGAAGGUUACACUGGUUUCGAUUCAUAAAGUGCAUGCUUCUGGUGUCCAAGUGCAAUAUUCCAAACAUCAAUUAUCACUGUACAUUGGUUUAUUAAAUAUUUUCUGAUUGAUUUGCUUUAUCUAGAUUCUACAUAAUGCUUUGUACUAAACUAUGAAUACUUUCCAUUUAUGGAAAAAUGUCCAGCUUGAGAUCACAGAGCAAUUGAAGAUUAUCUUUCAGAGACUUAUUUUUCUCCUUAAACUUUUGUUUCCUUGAUUUGGCAAACAAAGCUAGUCACUUUCUGUCACAUUUCUUUUCUUUUCUUUUCUUUUUUUUUUUUUUUUUUUGAUACAGUGUCUUGCUCUGUUGCCCAGGCUGGAGCACAGUGGUGCGAUCUUGGCUCACUGCAACCUCCGCCUCCCGGGUUCAAGCAAUUCUCCUGCCUCAGCCUCCCGAGUAGCUGGGACUACAGGUGUCCACCACCACACUCGGCUAAUUUUUGUACAUUUAGUACAGACGGGGUUUCACCAUAUUGACCAGGCUGGUCUCAAACUCCUAACCUUGUGAUCCGCGCCCACCUUGGCCUCCCAAAGUGCUGGGAUUACAGGCGUGAGCCACCACGCCUGGCCUGUCACAAAAUUUCUAUCCCAUCUUAUUCUAUCCCAUGUCAUCCACUGCCAUUGUACCACCAAACUCUACAUUGCCCUCUCUCAGAAUGUCCUCCUGUUCCUUGGAGAUAGCACUGUACUGCUGUUACCAUAGAUGCAACCCUCAGGCUUCAUGCCUGCAUGGCUUCUGCACCUGGGUACGUCCUGGAGAUCUUUGCAGCCACCUAAACAGACACGCUACCCUCUGUUCCAGCACUCUGUACUUGGUUCUUAUCUUGCCGGGUAUGUGUUAGUCUGUGUUUCAUCUGUUUAUAUGUGUGUCGCUUCUAGUAAACUCUGAGUUCCUCAGCUUAAAAGUCUCAUUUUGUGCAAUUUCUUUUAAUCACCAGUAUUUGAUACAUUACUUGGACACUUAAAGAAUAAAUGAAAUAAAUGAAUGAAGCAUUUCUUCCAGUGUACAAAACAACUGAAUAAAUGAAUCAAUUAAUUAUCAAUUAACAAAUAGAAGUGCCAAGGAAGUGGUUAAAUGAUUUGCUCCUGGUUAACACAGAGCUUGGGAUGGCCACCAACUCUCACCUCAUCAUUCUAUCUACUGACUAGUUGGCCUUGAAUUUGUUAAUUUAAAAAAAUUUGAAGUUUCAAUGUUCUUGCAGCAAACUCUAACAUACAUACUUAAUGAUUAAAGGCAAGACCUCAAGGGCAGAUUGGAAA